rnacentral:rRNA from 1 species
UACGGAGGGGGCUAGCGUUGUUCGGAAUUACUGGGCGUAAAGCGCACGUAGGCGGAUCAGUCAGUUAGAGGUGAAAGCCCAGGGCUCAACCCUGGAACUGCCUUUAAUACUGCUGGUCUGGAGUCCGAGAGAGGUGAGUGGAAUUCCUGGUGUAGCGGUGAAAUGCGCAGAUAUCAGGAGGAACACCAAUGGCGAAGGCAGCUCACUGGGACGAUACUGACGCUGAGACGCGAAAGCGUGGGGAGCAAACAGG